rnacentral:rRNA from 1 species
UACAGAGGCCUCGAGCGUUAGGCGGAAUCACUGGGCUUAAAGCGUAUGUAGGCGGACUUCUAAGUACCUUGUGAAAUCCCACGACUCAAUCGUGGAACUGCUUGGUAUACUGCCAGUCUUGAGGCACUCAGGGGCGAGCGGAACAGAUGGUGGAGCGGUGAAAUGCGUAGAUAUCGUAAGGAAGACCAGUGGCGAAGGCGGGUCUCUGGACAGUUCCUGACGCUGAGGCACGAAGGCCAGGGGAGCAAACGGG